UUAUAGUUUAAAGCGCUAGAGGUUAAGAAAAUCUCAGGUUUAGAGAUACUUAACUUGACGAGGGUGGGGAGUAUCGAAGUUUUCAGCGGAUGCCCCACGGUAUGAGUACUACCGUUAAAGACUGACAAACCUAAAAAGUGAUUUUUAGAACAAAUUCAGUUGGGUACUCUUG
rnacentral:ncRNA from 2 species